UACGUAGGGGGCAAGCGUUGUCCGGAAUCAUUGGGCGUAAAGAGCGCGUAGGCGGUCCGGUAAGUCCGCUCUGAAAGCCCGGGGCUCAACCCCGGGAGGCGGGCGGAUACUGUCGGGCUAGAGUCCGGAAGAGGCGAGUGGAAUUCCUGGUGUAGCGGUGAAAUGCGCAGAUAUCAGGAGGAACACCGGUGGCGAAGGCGGGUCUCUGGGCCGAUAUUGACGCUGAGGAGCGAAAGCGUGGGGAGCAAACAGG
rnacentral:rRNA from 1 species